ACUUACCUUGCUCAGAGGUUAAAGUGUCUGCCUAGAAGGCAGGAGACCAGGGUUCUAUCCCUGGGUCGGGA
rnacentral:tRNA from 1 species